CCUACGGGUGGCAGCAGUGAGGAAUAUUGGUCAAUGGCCGGAAGGCUGAACCAGCCAUGCCGCGUGAAGGUCAGUGCCCUAUGGGCGUUAAACUUCUUUUGUGCGGGAGCAAUAAUGGUCACGUGUGGCCAGACGAGAGUACCGUACGAAUAAGCAUCGGCUAACUCCGUGCCAGCAGCCGCGGUAAUACGGGGGAUGCAAGCGUUGUCCGGAUUUAUUGGGGUUAAAGGGUGCGUAGGGUGUGAGGUAAGUCAGCGGUGAAAUGCCCCCGCUCAACGGGGUGAAGUGCCAUUGAUACUGCCUUGCUGGAAGGCGGAUGCCGUGGGAGGAAUGGGUGGUGUAGCGGUGAAAUGCAUAGAUAUCACACAGAACACCGAGUGCGAAGGCAUCUCACGAAUCCGCGAUUGACGCUGAUGCACGAAAGCGUGGGUAUCAAACAGGAUUAGAUACCCCUGUAGUC
rnacentral:rRNA from 1 species